rnacentral:lncRNA from 1 species
UCAAUAUUGUCUCCGUCUAAUCAAACUAGACCAAGCAGUGGAGAUGCCACUAUCCAGUAGAUCACAAAUUGAAUUCCAUAUAAUUGAAGCAGUCUUGUGCAUCGUCUUUGGAUGAAUUGCUACAAAAUAAUCACAUUUUCAUGAAGUCUUCAUCUUUAAUAAAAUUUAAAGUAUGCUCUUAAUGGACUUUAGCAACCAGCAUCUUUUUUUCCUGAGAGAAACGAAUCCAUAGGUUCCCCUCCAAUACGGCAAAUCUCAUUUCAUUAAAAUAAUGAAUGAAAAAGGUGAGAUCAGAUACUUACCCUUUCAAUCUUUCACAAUUUAAGCCACUUUGGUUUAGCCGGCUUCUUCUCAGGUGGCUUAGGAUCAGGUACAGCAGGGGACGUCCCCACUGCUGGAGGUUCUGGUUCAGAAGUGACAGGAUCCGCCUUUUCAGAAGUAAAAUCCAAUCCAUUCAAAGACAAGAUAUCAUCACGAAGGUAAGGCCCUGUCUUUGCAACUGCACUAUCAGACUCUUUAUC